CUUAUUGUAGAUUGAGAGCAGACCAUUGGAAAAGCAUUCAACUAUUGCUGUCAUUGGAUAUAAACAUGGGAGUAACAUACGCAGGUAUUUUAGGUGCGUCUAUUUCAUCGACUUUGAAGCUUCUGUUAUCGACCCCAGGGCUCAAUGUGUUCUACAGCGUCUCCAGGAAUUGGCUACUUAUGUUCGAGUUUUCGGUUGCUAUCCUAUGGACAUCGCCACGUGGUAGAGAAACAUUCUUAUUUACUCCGUGUCAUAUAGUUUAUUUGUUUUUUGGAAUAAUUCUAAACUUAUGUAGUUGUAGUAUUGCUAAGUAGAUGUUUAUUUCGAAUUUGAUAAAAUUAAGAACUUUAACGGUUAAUUAUAUUUGAAC